rnacentral:rRNA from 1 species
UACGGAGGGGGCUAGCGUUGUUCGGAAUUACUGGGCGUAAAGCGCACGUAGGCGGCUUUGUAAGUUAGAGGUGAAAGCCCGGGGCUCAACUCCGGAAUUGCCUUUUAAGACUGCAUCGCUUGAAUUGUGGAGAGGUAAGUGGAAUUCCGAGUGUAGAGGUGAAAUUCGUAGAUAUUCGGAAGAACACCAGUGGCGAAGGCGACUUACUGGACGAUUGUUUGACGCUGAGGUGCGGAAGCGUGGGGAACAAACAGGG